rnacentral:rRNA from 1 species
AGAGUUUGAUCCUGGCUCAGGAUGAAUGCUGGCGGCGUGCCUAACACAUGCAAGUCGAGCGGCAGCGAAGGGUGCUUGCACCCUGUCGGCGAGCGGCGGACGGCUGAGUAACGCGUGGGAAUCUACCCUAAAGUGAGGGAUAACCGCCCGAAAGGGUGGCUAAUACCGCAUAUGAUCUUCGGAUUAAAGGAUUUAUCCGCUUUAGGAAGAGCCCGCGUUAGAUUAGGUAGUUGGUAGGGUAAUGGCCUACCAAGCCAACGAUCUAUAGCUGGUCUGAGAGGAUGAUCAGCCAGACUGGAACUGAGACACGGUCCAGACUCCUACGGGAGGCAGCAGUGAGGAAUCUUCCACAAUGGGCGAAAGCCUGAUGGAGCAACGCCGCGUGAAGGAUGAAGGCCUUCGGGUUGUAAACUUCUUUUAUGAGUGAAGAAUAUGACGGUAACUCAUGAAUAAGCACCGGCUAACUACGUGCCAGCAGCCGCGGUCAUACGUAGGGUGCAAGCAUUAUCCGGAGUGACUGGGCGUAAAGAGUUGCGUAGGCGGUUUAAUAAGUGAAUAGUGAAACCUGGUGGCUCAACCAUACAGACUAUUAUUCAAACUGUUAAACUCGAGAGUGGUAGAGGUAACUGGAAUUUCUAGUGUAGGAGUGAAAUCCGUAGAUAUUAGAAGGAACACCAAUGGCGUAGGCAGGUUACUGGACCAUUUCUGACGCUAAGGCACGAAAGCGUGGGGAGCGAACUGGAUUAGAUACCCAGGUAGUCCACGCCGUAAACGAUGGAUACUAGCUGUUGGAGGUAUCGACCCCUUCAGUAGCGAAGCUAACGCGUUAAGUAUCCCGCCUGUGGAGUACGGCCGCAAGGCUAAAACAUAAAGGAAUUGACGGGGACCCGCACAAGCGGUGGAUCAUGUUCUUUAAUUCGAUGAUAAACGAAGAACCUUACCAGGGUUUGACAUCCCGAGAAGAUUUACGAAAGUAAAUUGUGCCUUUUGGAACUCGGUGACAGAUGAUGCAUGGCCGUCGUCAGCUCGUGUCGUGAGAUGUUUGGUUAAGUCCAUCAACGAGCGCAACCCUUGUGAAUAGUUGAAUUUUUCUAUUCAGACUGCCCCGGCAACGGGGAGGAAGGAGGGGAUGAUGUCAGGUC